GCUAUCUUAGCUCAGUAGGUAGAGCGCAUCCAUGGUAAGGAUGAGGUCAUGGGUUCAAUUCCCAUAGUUAGCACCA
rnacentral:tRNA from 1 species